rnacentral:rRNA from 1 species
CGAAGGGGCGUAGCGUUGCUCGGAAUCACUGGGCGUAAAGGGCGCGUAGGCGGCCGAUUAAGUCGGGGGUGGAAAGCCUGUGGCUCAACCACAGAAUUGCCUUCGAUACUGGUUGGCUUGAGACCGGAAGAGGACAGCGGAACUGCGAGUGUAGAGGUGAAAUUCGUAGAUAUUCGCAAGAACACCAGUGGCGAAGGCGGCUGUCUGGUCCGGUUCUGACGCUGAGGCGCGAAAGCGUGGGGGAGGCAAACAGGAUU